CCUCAUUCUCCCCCUCUCUCUUACUUUCUCUCCCUCUGCGUGUGUGCAUGUGAAUUUGUGUUUGUUUCUCUGUAUGUGUGUGUUUCUGUGUGUGUGUGUGUAUGUGUUUUUCUGUGUGUGUGUGUGUGUGUGUGUGUGUGUGUGUGUGUGUGUGUGUGUGUGUGUGUGUGUGUGCACGUGUAUGUGUGUGUGUCUGGGUGUGUGUGUGUCUGGGUGUGUGUGUGUGUGUGUGUGUGUGUGUGUGUGUGUGUGUAUGUGUGUGUGUGUGUGUGUGUGUGUGUGUGUGUGUGUGUGUGUGUGUGUGUGUGUGUGUGUGUGUGUGUGUGUGUGUGUGUGUGUGUGUGUGUGUGUGUGCGUGUGU
ensembl:lncRNA